ensembl:misc_RNA Y_RNA Y RNA
UGCUGGUCUGAAGGUAGCGAGUUAUCUUGAUUAUUCAGUCCGUUACAGAUCGAACUUCCUUGUUCUACUCUUUCCCCCCUUCUCACUACUGCACUUGACUAAAAAAAU